rfam:Salmo salar isolate Sally breed double haploid chromosome ssa02, whole genome shotgun sequence.
AUAAAGGUUCUAUUAAGAACCAUACAAAAGGGGUUAUAACCUUAG